UGCCAGCCGCCGCGGUAACAUGGGGGGCGUAUGCGUUAUUCGGGAAUUAUUGGGCGUAAAGGGCGCGCAGGUGGUCUUGUCAGUCAGGUGUGAAAGCCCGGGGCUCAACCCUGGAAGUGCACUUGAAACAGCAAGACUUGAGUACUGGAGAGGAAAGCGGAAUUCCUGGUGUAGAGGUGAAAUUCGUAGAUAUCAGGAGGAACACCGAUGGCGAAGGCAGCUUUCUGGACAGAUACUGACGCUGAGACGCGAAGGCGUGGGGAGCGAACGGGAUUAGAUA
rnacentral:rRNA from 1 species